CCGGGCUGUCCCCCCUCAGGGCGCCGCUCCUGCCACCACCGCAGGGGAAGCCACGGUGGCGGGGGGCGGGCUGCCCUGGGGUCUCCCCUGCUCUUCCCCGCCCGAGGAAGAUCGAGGUCAGGGCCCGGCGCGGGCGGUGCGAGCCCCAGGCUCCCCCGUGGGCUCCGCACGCCGCUUUCCAGAAGCGUCUGAGGGAAACGCGAGUCCCGCUUGCCCCUGGGGCAGGUGCUUUUGUUGGUGUCGUUGACGCUGGAGCGCAGUGCCGUGAGCCUUCCCUAGCUUCAGACGCGCAGGGCCCUCGGUGGCGGCGUGGGACGCACUCCAGGCUUGUGUCGGUCCCAGCCACACGUCCGCCCCGCCAGCGGCAUGGGACACGCUCCUGUCCAUGCGCUCCAAGGCCGCUCCUCGCUGCAGCCGGAGCGCGGUACGUCUGGAAGAGCAAGAAAUUCCAGCAUAUGAUGUUCCCUCUUAAUUUGCAGGCUUGAGGCAUGCCUUCCCUUCUAUAAAAGAUGCGUCGAUCCAGGAUGCACAGAUGGGUGAAGAGAGAAGUAGUCUGUCUGUGGAAGUUGGGCCCUCCCCAGGGAAACUAUAACUCUUCAGAAGCCAGCCUGUAUCCCCAUGUCUCCUGAGCACGGUUUGUGUCCGCCAGCAAUGCCGACUGGAUCUGCUGAAAAACUGAGACCUGGGAGUCCUCAGCACGCAGAGCACCUGGGCAGCGUCCCUGCGAGAGCCGUCAGAGCGGCGUUGUUCCCUGCAGAGCACGCAGGGCCCCGGGGCCGGCUGUGGCUGACCGAUGGCUGGCAAGAAGCACGCAGUGAGAGACCCGCUAGGUCUCGAGGCCAGAGCCAUCUAGGACCCCAAGUGUCUCAUGAGCACAAGGCCUACGCACAGCCCACUACAGCACCUGGGAAGGGAGCUGCAUAGCUUUCAAAGUGGAGCCAUUAAAGGACCUGAAGGAUAAACAGUGAUUCAUGUUGCAGAUGAAACUUUUGCUGUGACACCAUCAUUUAUUGGUGAGGAUCAUAUUCUGUGUGGAGGCUUAAAGAUGGUGUUUUUUUCUCAACCCACACUGCAAAUGUUAAUGUUCAUCUUCUGCCAAGGCAGUUACUUUAUUACAAUACUAAAAUAUCAUCUAAAUAAUUUAAGAAAACAUGAAGUGAAAAAACAACCCUCAACAACCUGAAGGGUAGCUGAAUAUGAGAGCAGAGACAUAGAAUCAUGCUGGGAUCCUUCUGGAGUAUUCCUUUUUUUGUUUGCUUUUUUGUUUUUUGGGGGUUUUCUACAGGGUAUAACUGCUAGGGACAAAGGUGCCUAGGUAGGGAGCAGUAAUGUUGCUGGGGUGGAACCUGCUCAGCUGGUGCAGGCUCCUGGUGAAAGCCAGAAAUGUCCCACUGAAGAGAUGUCCAUGUUCCUGGAUGCUUCUACAAAUACAUUGUGCUACUAGACAGGCACUGUAUUUUCAGGAGUGGCUUUAAAAAUAACCACAGAACAAACGUCUCCUUGUUUUUUGUUGGAGAUUGUCAUCUCACAAGUUUGUUCUGUGGCUAUGACAGAACAGGGAUCUAUCUGGUAUUAAAGGCCCAGAUUAUGGAAUGCUUUCUACUGGUAACCGUGAAUUGUCGCAUAUAAAACUAAAGUGGGACACACCGAGCACCUAGCUGCAGUCCAGACACCAAAGGGAGAUAUGGGCCCUUACAUCCAGGUGGGAUUUACUCCCAUCAUUCACUGGCAGCAUUAGACAUACAAGAAAGGGCCUGAGCUUGCCUGUGAAAGAUCCUGUAGCUUCCCUGAUGCAUUAGCUGCUGUUGCUCACCUGAGGCACGUGCUGUUUCUCAAAGGCCAGGGCUUGUGGACUGCAGUGAAACACCUUUGUAGAAAUAUUUGGUCUGUCUGGAAGUAUGAUGGUUUCAUACACACUAAAACCUUGGGUCUGUGGAGAUGGGUAACUUCAGGACAGACAAUUGUAGGCAGGUGAGAUUAUAUAGCAAUCCUUGUAGGGCUGUAGGUCUGGUGGAGUGGUUGUUGUUGCCAUGCUCCUAUAACAGAGCUAAUAAAUCUAGCUGAUAAUCCUGCUGCUGGGGUCAGUGUGCUGAGCUGACUUUGCUGGCCUUUGUGCGUUGCUCACAGCACACAUCGUGCCACUGUGCUUUCAAGAAUGACAAUAACUGAUCCUGUACGCUUUUGUGGUUAAACACCUCUACCGUGCAGGAGCCCGCUGACCCUCGCUCGAGGGCUUCGCUGGCAGGGGAGCUCACGGCCCCCGGUUCAUCCUGAACAUCGCCCUUGGAUCGAAGGACACAUGAAUCUACAAGUACCUGAGUGUCUGGUAAGAGGAUUUUAAAGGACCCAAACAUAAGACUAGGUAUGUUAGAGCAUUCAAAAUCAUCUAGCCCAGUACCCUGUCUCCAGCAGUAACUGGGGUAGGGAGGCUCAAUAAUGGGACAAAUCCCAAGUGAUCCAAGCCUGCAAAUAAGCCUCCCAGUUUCUGGUAACUAGCAGAUUAGAGACUUCCUGAGCCAGAAGCUGUAUUGGGACCAUGGGGCUUAAUAGCCACAGAUAGGCUUCUCCUCCCUGAAUUAACUGAAUCCCUUUUUGAACCCAUUUAUCCUUCUGGCUGUCAUGCAUCCCCCAAUUUAAUUACACACCGCUUGAUAACUUAACUGGGUCCCCCUUUCCUAUUGUGCUGAGAAUAAGGAACAGUCAUUCAUAGUCUCUCACCUUCUUUACACCAUUUAUCCAGAAUCUCACUACAGGCUUCUACAGUGUCUGAUGCUUAUUAAUGCCUCAGUUUAAGACUUUUGACUGAGAGUCUGUGUACUUUUUCUCAAUGGUUCUGUUACUGCAUAUAAAAGGGGAAGAGAGAGAACUGGGUAUAUUCUAAAAACUGAAGCUAGAAGGAAAACAAAGACCCUCAAGUGAAUUUCUAUUUUGAAAUCUUACGAUUUUUAAGCUAAUCCCACAUUUUUGGCAGAAGGGAGGGAAUUGUUUCAUGGAAAUACUGCAUAUUUAGUAGAAGAUCAGCCAGAGCUAGUGAAGACAAAACAAUAUGUGGGCUCUGUGGAACUCUGGUGUGAUAACAUGCUGAUGAGGCCUGGAAAUUGUUCUGGUUUCCUUGUGUUUAAAAAGUUUGGAAUGUUAUUUGUUACAGGAGACCUCUCCUCAUGAUAGAAGUGGUAUUAUGCACUAGUAUGUAUAUUACAGUUCAUCUGUAUUUGUGGAGUGUGUCUAAUAGUUCAUGAGGCUAUCCUAGCAGUGGGAGUGUGGGAAUAUGCUGUGCUGUGUUUGAAGGACCAAAGCCAUUUGCUGUUCACUACAAAUGUCUUCCUCUGUUCGGCUUCCAGGCCUUUAUGCUCGCUGAACAUACUUCUAGGAGAUGAGUUAUCCCUAAUUAUUUUCUUCUGUCAAGGUCUGACCUUAGUAGUUGUACACCCUGAUCUUCAACAGUAUGCAGUAGAGAGUGAUAACAUUAGUAAAAAAAUAACAGCUUACAGUGGCAGCCCUUUGCAAACAGUAUUGUGACAACUAAAGAGACAGGGAUGAAAAAAUCCUCAGGGUGAAGGUUCCAAUUCUACCGAGUCCAUGCAAAUGGGUGAUAAAUAUUUUAAAAGUGAUUUGAUAUAUACCAUGAUCAGUAGUGGGGGGAAAAAAGCAAAUAGCGCACAAUUUGGCAUCUUGAUUUAUUCUUAGAUAUCAUUGGAAAACCCUUGAGCUGUAUAAUUUAAUCUCUUUUUCUUAUCAAAGAUUGGCAUUAUUACCCUGAAUUCCAUAAUUCUUCUCAAUACAGAACUCACUUCAGGAUCACAGCAUCUAGAAUAUUGUUCUGAAACAUUUGGAUCAUUACAGUGAAGCUAGAUGUUAUAGCUAACGAUUAUGUUUUACUCUGCAGUGGGUGCAAUUAGAGCUACAGCUUCAAAGUAAAAUGUAGGAAAAUAUGACUGCUAGGGGGGGCAAAGAGGAGGAGAGAAAAAGUAUUGACUAGAAGCUGAUUCUGCAUAUAUGAGAAGAGAAGGGUUCAUGGCUAGUUCAUUAGGAUGAAACCUGGAGUGUACCAGAUGGGUGGGUCUGUCUGUCUCAGGCGUUUUUAAUACACUGUUUACUGUAGCAUGUAUGGUAGGUGUCACAGCUUCUGCUGGAAGCCCCUGCAGGGAAAAGCAAGUAUGAUUGGAAACACAAUGAUGAUUACAGACUUCCGUGAGCCCUGCUGCCUCUCAGCCAGGUUUGUGUGGAUGGGGAGGCGCAAAACCCCAGCCCAGGGAAGCUGAUGGCCAAGUCCCAGGGCUGGAAGGCGAUGCCUGUUGGUGACAGCACCACAGAGGUUUCCUUCAGCCUCUGGCUUCAGGCUGUUGAUGGACUUGCCUGGAGUUCAGCAAAAACAGUGCUUGGCUUUCGGUCUCAAGGUGCCAGGGUGAGGGAGUUAGAGGUGCAGACGAGGACAUACACUUCUAAGAGGCACGAGCCUGUCAGGAUGCGUCCAUUACCUCCCCUCCCUGCCGUUUCUAGAGGGAUUUUUGGUUAGACUACAGUGGGCUUUUCUUGUCCAAAUUUACCAUGCAUUUUCUCCAGCCACCUCACAACAGCAGAGCCUGCGUAACUGCACAGCUGUCUGAAAAGGUGUGGCUGGUUCUCCUUCUGCUGGUCCAUGAAUCGUUCCUGUGGCACUGAGCCAAGCCUGCUGCGGGGACUGCAUUUCGGAUAGAAAGUGAGGCAGCUUGGGCUGGGGGCAACCAUCCGCAUUCACCCACAAACGCAGGGAUUGUGAACUAGAAGAAAUCAGGACAAAGAUGUGGUUCGACAGCUGUGUCCAUUCCCAAUGCAGAAGAGAUUCCCUUUCUCUUUCUUACCUCUAAUGCAGUGAUGCAAAGCUGUUUGGGACUUACUGGUUGAGAGGGUGAUACGUGGUGUUCCUGUGAACUGAGCAGAGAACAGGAGCCAGGAAAAAUCAGCCAGUACCACCUCAGUUUGACUCAUCGUGACCUUUGUCAGGACAGCAUUGAGAUGCUGUGGCAAAGGAUGGAGUUUAAUACCAGAGAGCAAAGCUACUAACAUUUCUUUGCUAAUUGUCAUUUUGGGUCAGCUUCUGAGCUCACGCAUCCUGGCACUGUUGUCAUCCCGUGCACCUUCCAGCUUCAGGCAGGUGAGGUCUCAGCCUUCCCAGCUAAUUGUGCUCCUUUUCUCAACAAGCAAGCUGUUUUCUACUCUGUGCUGUACCCUUCCCCCUGUACAGGCAUCUUUGGAGCUGCUCUUCUGUGGCGAAUAAGGUAGGAAAACCGAGGCUUUAUGAGACUACACCUCCUCUGCAAAACACACCGAAACAGCAAUUCAAGCCGCAGCCACUGAGUGUCCCCCACUAUGCAGGAGGCCUGGAUAAAAGGUGCUUGUAAAAAGAUUUUCCUCUUUCUCUAUUUUACUUAUGUUUAUGUGGAUUGUAUCACCAUGGUAACAGCACCACAUGCCUGAUUGCCUGGCAUUUACCCAGGCAAUACCUCAUUUAAUAAAUAAUGCCUUGCUUUUAGCAUUUUUGUUCUUGGGCACAGUGCUGUGAACCUUAGGGGAGACUGCCAUCUGCAAUGCUACCACAAUUUAAGAGUGCUUCUCCUUGCUGUGGGCAAUGUGAAACCUAAUGGGUUCCACAUGUCCAGCUGACACACAACCCUGAUACCUGCUUUUUUUCUUCUCCCAUCUGAGAGAGAUGAGAAGGGUGGAUUUUAGCUGGCAUUAGCUCUUUCAUUUUUUGGUGCCACUUUAGGGAGCUGGUUGCCCAAUUCUUCAUUCCAGCUCAGAAGAGAAUCAAUACUCAUUUGCUUACAGGACUCUAUGUCUUAGUGUAGGUACCCUGGAGAUAAGGCGGCAAAGUACACAUAAAGCACCUGAGUUACAAAGGGGAACUGAGGUAGAAUUUCCCUGCCCUGGCCUCUUUCUUUCCCCUGCAGGAGAAGUUUUCAGUUUCUGGAAAUCCCCAGGACUGCUCAUCACCUCCCUCAUCAAUCCCUCAGCUUCUCCUCCGGCCCUUCUCUGAGCUGCAGCUGUGCGGAGUGCUGUGUGUCACUGAGGCCAUUUGGCACAGCGGCUAAUAACUCUUCAGGCCCCUUGCGCGGCGCGGCAGGGACCACUGGUGCGGUCACCUAGCUUGCAGCUGAGACUCCGCAGGAUCCUGUGGAUGUGAGCACCAGCAGCAGAGGCUGGGAUAAUUUUAGAAUGGUUAUAUAGAUGGACAGCUUAUUAUCAGCUUUAAGUGAAGAAACAGAACACAAGAAUGGCUGCUAAGAAGAGGAAAAGAUGCAAGGGAGGAUACUGCGCCUCUGCGUGCUUCCCUCCAGCCUCCACUGGUGCCGUGUUUCUCCUGACGUAGCCUGGCACAGCGAGGCGACCCGUGGCUUGACGUGAGUUGCUCUUGUGGGGUGAUCUGGUAGAGAGAUGGGUAAAGGCUGCAGAACUUUUGCGCCUAUAUCUUGAGGUGCAGUAAUUGAAUGACUCUGUGAAUGGGUGCCAGCAAGAACUGUGUGUACAGAGGGAGUGGGCGGUGGAGGAUGAAGGGGUUUUCUGUGGAUCAGGAGGCCUGGGUUUGAACCUCUUGGUCUUCACAGAGCACGCACGAGUCACCUCGCUGUAAAGGGGCAGGAGUUAUCAGUGGGGAUCCCAGCUGCUCAGUGUGGGACCCUUCCCGUCACUCCUCAAGGGCUGCAGGAACUGUCCUGCCAUAGCCAUGCCCAGGCCGAGGUGCAGCUCAGAAGGGGCAUCUCUGGGGAGCCCUACAUCUCUGGGGCACGCGGGACGCUGCUCUGGUCCCUCAUGGUGCCAUACCUGUCCCUCCUCAGACUGGGUCUUUCCAGCCCAUCAAACCCAUCAGCUCAGCCAUCACCUUUUAGUAUCACAGCAGUAGCAACAGGCAGCAGACUGGGAUGGAGGUUUCAUUCUGUUCGGCACCUUGGCUACAUGUAGGGAACCAGCUGUCUCUGCAUCCAGCCUGAGCUGCGCUUAACCCAUUGUGAAAGCUCUUGGUCAGCAGGGAAUUAAAACAAUUGUUUUUUCAAUGCACUUUGCUGUCCGUCUGAACUUUCUCAUCCUAAUGUGAUAUGUCUGCAAAGUAGUUAGGCUUAGUUAUUUGACUUAUAAAGUGGUAGUGGGAGCAAGGGCCAGGGGGGACAGAUUAAAGUGAACUGGGAAUCUUUAAGUGAAGAGAAAAGAGGACUAAAGGGAGCCAUGAUAACUCUUUACAAAUAGUUAGAGGCACAUAAUAAAGAGGACAGGGACCAAUUAUUCUCAUUAGUCAAUGAGAACUGAACAAGAAGAAUGGGCUUACCCUGCAGAAGGUAAAAUGUAGAUUAUGAUGGAAAAGUUCUAAGAAUAACACCACAGAAUGAGCUGCCAAGGGAAGCUAUUGAUCCUGCUUCCCCAAAGACCACACAAGCUAGAUUUUCAGAGGUAUUUCAGUCCUUAGAGAGUUGUCAAGUGUCCAUCCAUGUUUGAUGCCAAACUCGCACAGCAACCAGUGCAAGACAGUGGUCUGUCUUUUGCACUUCUAAGUUGCUGAAUAUUUUGAAAACCUGCCUGGUCCUGAAUGUGAAGUGCUCCCUCUUCUUUUCCUAUUGCUGGUACAAAAAAGCUUAAGAAAGUUUUGUCUAAAUGUGUGAAAGCUGCUCUGGCCAAACUUCUAAACAUGCUGUAAGCCAGAGGCUGCUGAUCCCCCUUUGGAGAUGUGUGUUUCAAAGACCUUCAGGGAGAAAGAGUCAUAUCACGGAUGCUCUUCAGCAGCUGUAAAGUUUGAGCUGGAGAAAUUAUGAAGUUUGCCUGAGGUAUCCAGCUGCUUCGAGUGCGAAGGGAACUCCGGUCUGCUAGGAUCAUGGGUCAGUAGAUCUAUGCUAGUGUGUGAGGGUUGUCUCUGUGAGGGAGAGUUACAGGCUUCUCCCUUUAAAGCCACAUUAUGGAUCCCAAUGAUGUAGUGCUAACAUGAGCCUUAAGUAGUAUGGAGACCUGCUACUGGGCCAUUGCAGGUUGAAAAUGCCCUCAACACCUUUGAAGAGCAACCAGUAGAACCACUUUAUUAUCUGAUAACUGAGCAAUUAACUUGUGUCACCACUGUAUAGUGUUUCUUUUGCCAUAAUAUAAAGCUUUUAAGAAGAAAAUUAAACCUGCCAAGCAUCAUUACCUGAUAAGCCUACCAAGCAAGCAGCUAUUCAGAUUUCAGUGGCCAUGAUUGAAGAACCUGGUAGAGUUCAGACAACUGAAAAAUGUAAGUGUCUGGCCAGACUCCAGAUAAUUUACCAGUACAUUAGAGAUAAUUUUUUGCUGGCUUCAUGUGUACCUGGUGACUCCUGUUCAGCUAUGCAAAUGCUUCCUGUUCUUGUUUACACCCUCAUUAUUUGCAGGUGACUUGCUAGGUACCAAGGUACAGUCUGAAGAGUCCUUAUGCCGAGACACAAACCUUUCCCAACUCCAAGUCAGUGAUGUUGCUCUGUUAGGAAUUUGCUGAUGGGUAGGUUGCUACCAGUAUCGCUUAAACAGUGUUAGGAGGGGUAAGACAGUGCUGGCUGGCUCCUCUCUGGCCUUUCUCUUCCUUUCUUUCGGAAAUAUGAGAAUCAUAAUAUUACAAGGGCAGAGUGGUCCUUUGGGUUCCUGGGGCAACUCGCCUUUGCCUGUUCUUCUCCUGAGCUGUGGGCAGACGGCAGAGAUCUCAUGGGAAACACGCGAUGGGCUGCCGGGCGGGCAGCAGCGAAUCCCCGGGGGGCAGGCGCUGAUGUCCCCGCUCACGGGGCUGCUCUGUCCGCCAGCGGCAGCACAAGUGCCACCAUCUGAGAUGGCACUGCUGAUCUCGCGCCUUCGACUGGUGCCAGGACACAGUUCAGUGCUUUUGCCCAGUGUGGCUGAGGGUUUUUUUUUUAAGAAGUAUUUUUUAGUCUAGAAUGUGCCUUUUCCUUAAAAAAAAAACAUUUUGACUAAAGAUGGCCAUGUUUUUUCCCAUGAGAACUUACAUGUCUCUUUUGAAAAACGUAAAGAGCUGGAGAAAUACCACGGAGGGUUACUGACUGAUAUGAGAAUGUUUCUGCUUCCUAGAAACUGGUAUGUAAGAGUAAGAAAUUAUACCCUUUUAUUUUAUUUUUAAAUCAAAAUUAAUGAUUUCUAUAUAAAAACUGCAGAAAAUAAAAAUCACAACACUUUGAAAUGAAAGCUACAUUUAUUUUUUCACAAAAAUGGGUUCACUCUUUAGGUGGUAGGGUUAAUCAGUGAUGCUUCCAACCAAAUGCUUCUCAUUGAAAUGGAAGUGAAAAUGAGAAUGACUUUGGGGAAAUCCGAGUAGGAAUCACGUGGUGUGUAUUAGCAGUUGGUGAGCUGGGCACGAGCAUCACUCAGGAAAUUAAAAGGAGGAUGGUAUUUUGAGGUGAUAAAACAUUAAAAUAGAAAACUUGCAUUUGAGUCUGAUCCAGCCUUAAUUUUUGCCUUUUUAAGUCGUAGCUUAUGAAAAGUUUGAUUCUGUACCAGUAACAAGUGAUGUAUUUGGGCCAUGUCAAAAGGGAGAGGGGAGAGCGAAGCAGGUCGAUGGGGCUGCAGAUGGGCUUCUCGGCGCCUCCUGAUGAGGGAGAUGAAAAACGCUGAAACAGCCCAGGUCACAGGACAGAAAAUGACCAUGCAGUCAAAAUAAAUAAAAAGGCAGGUGAGCCUACUUACACGGCCCAUUAACUGGGGCAGCGUUGUUGUAACCAGCCUUGUAGGAGUAGAUCCCUGAGCAAGAGGUGGUGGCAGGGGAACAGCCCACGCCUCUCUCAUAGCGAGUUUGGUGCGGUAGGAUCCUGACUAACGCUUACCCAUGUUUUUCUCAUAACAACAACCCUCCAGAGAAAAAGAAAGAGUUGGAAAAGAAGAUUUGGCAUGAAAUCUGUGAUGCCGUGCUGUAUCAAGGGCCUCUUGGGCCUUUUUAGGAUGAGGAAUAUCCCGCACCUGGCUGCAAUGGCGAGAGGGCUCCCAGCUCUGCGGCUGGGGGAGGCGGGGGAGUCACUGCUGUGCUGGAUUUUGGCCCAAUAACUGCUCGUUCUCCUCUACGGGCAGUUGCUCUGCUUCGGUGCGUGGGCCUGACAGAUGGAGCCGGGCGCUGGUGCCAGGAUCCAGCGGUGCCGCUCUUCUCCCACCUGCUCCAGGCGGGACAUGGGCUCGGGGGCCGUCCCCAGCCCUGGGGCCUCUGUGCUGUGUAACCGCAGCCUCCUGAGCGCAACGUUGUGUGCAGGAAGGCUGGCCACAGUCUUCCUCUUAUGGGAAGCCUCAGUUAUUCUUUGGUAAAGUUAAUAAACUGACUUUUUGCUUA